GAGAUGUGUGAUGACGCAUAUCAAUAAGCGGAGGAAAAGAAACUAACAAGGAUUCCCUUAGUAACGGCGAGUGAAGCGGGAAGAGCUCAAAUUUGAAAUCUUCAAGGUUCUACCUUGACGAAUUGUAGUUUAUAGAAGUGUUUUCUGUUAGUAGAGUGGCAAAAGUUCUUUGGAAUAGGACAUCAUAGAGGGUGAGAAUCCCGUAUUUGGUCAUUCUUUCUAGCUUUGUGAUACACUUUCAACGAGUCGGAUUGUUUGGGAAUGCAGUCCAAAAUGGGUGGUAAAUUUCAUCUAAAGCUAAAUAUUGGCGAGAGACCGAUAGCGAACAAGUACCGUGAGGGAAAGAUGAAAAGAACUUUGAAAAGAGAGUUAAACAGUACGUGAAAUUGUCAAAAGGGAAGCGUUUGACACCAGUGUUGUUUUUCCGAAAAUCAAUUACGAAUGUUUUAUUUUUGAGAAGUUAUGACUUCAUCGGCUUGCUUCUCUCUUUAUGAAACUUUCUUAACGCACUUUUCGGUUAACAAGUCAACAUCAAUUUCUUUUGUUGUAAAAGGGUAUGAGGAAGGUGGCUUUCUUUUCGGAGAAAGUGUUUAUAGCCUUGUACCUCUGCAAUCGGAGAGAUUGAGGUCUGCAGCGUAGAUCCUUCGGGGUUAGAUACAUUUGUGCUAAGUUAUAGCUUUUCAUAGACAACCUGUUGACUAUGUUUAGUCUUGUAGCUUACUCGCUUAUGCUAUUUUACCUACGCUUAGGAUGUUGACAGCAGUAUAGACUGU
rnacentral:rRNA from 1 species